rfam:Myotis davidii contig318728, whole genome shotgun sequence.
GCCCGUGUGUUCAGUGGUUAGAGCAUCAGCUCAUACACCGAAGGCUUAUGGGUUCGAUUCCCAGUCAAGGGCA